rnacentral:rRNA from 1 species
GACGAACGCUGGCGGCGUGCUUAACACAUGCAAGUCGAACGCUGAAGCUUGGUGCUUGCACUGGGUGGAUGAGUGGCGAACGGGUGAGUAAUACGUGAGUAACCUGCCCUUGACUCUGGGAUAAGCCUGGGAAACUGGGUCUAAUACUGGAUACGACAUGUCACCGCAUGGUGGUGUGUGGAAAGGGUUUUACUGGUUUUGGAUGGGCUCACGGCCUAUCAGCUUGUUGGUGGGGUAAUGGCUCACCAAGGCGACGACGGGUAGCCGGCCUGAGAGGGUGACCGGCCACACUGGGACUGAGACACGGCCCAGACUCCUACGGGAGGCAGCAGUGGGGAAUAUUGCACAAUGGGCGGAAGCCUGAUGCAGCGACGCCGCGUGAGGGAUGACGGCCUUCGGGUUGUAAACCUCUUUCAGCACGAAAGAAGCGAAAGUGACGGUACGUGCAGAAGAAGCGCCGGCUAACUACGUG